rnacentral:rRNA from 1 species
AUACGUAGGGUGCAAGCGUUAAUCGGAAUUACUGGGCGUAAAGCGUGCGCAGGCGGUUUUGUAAGACAGAGGUGAAAUCCCCGGGCUCAACCUGGGAACUGCCUUUGUGACUGCAAGGCUAGAGUACGGCAGAGGGGGAUGGAAUUCCGCGUGUAGCAGUGAAAUGCGUAGAUAUGCGGAGGAACACCGAUUGCGAAGGCAAUCCCCGGUGCCUGUACUGACGGUCAUGCACGAAAGCGUGGGGAGCAAACAGGAUUAGAUACCCUGGUAGUCCACGCCCUAAACGAUGUCAACUGGUUGUUGGGUCUUCAUUGACUCAGUAACGAAGCUAACGCGUGAAGUUGACUGCCUGGGGAGUACGGCCGCAAGGUUGAAACUCAAAUGAAUUGACGGGG